rnacentral:rRNA from 1 species
GACGAACGCUGGCGGCGUGCUUAACACAUGCAAGUCGAACGGAAAGGCCCUGCUUGCAGGGUGCUCGAGUGGCGAACGGGUGAGUAACACGUGGGUGAUCUGCCCCUUACUUUGGGAUAAGCCUGGGAAACUGGGUCUAAUACUGGAUAGGACCAUGCUGUAGGUGGUGUGGUGGAAAGAUUAGUUUCGGUAAGGGAUGAGCUCGCGGCCUAUCAGCUUGUUGGUGGGGUAAUGGCCUACCAAGGCGUCGACGGGUAGCCGGCCUGAGAGGGUGGACGGCCACAUUGGGACUGAGAUACGGCCCAGACUCCAACGGGAGGCAGCAGUGGGGAAUAUUGCACAAUGGGCGCAAGCCUGAUGCAGCGACGCCGCGUGGGGGAUGACGGCCUUCGGGUUGUAAACUCCUUUCAGCCAUGACGAAGCCCUUGUGGUGACGGUAGUGGUAGAAGAAGCACCGGCUAACUACGUG